rnacentral:rRNA from 1 species
UACGUAGGGGGCGAGCGUUAUCCGGAUUCAUUGGGCGUAAAGCGCGCGUAGGCGGCCAGUUAGGUCGGGAGUCAAAUUUCGGGGCUCAACCCCGUCGUGCCGUUGAAACUGAUGUUCUUGAGUGGGCGAGAAGUAUGCGGAAUGCGUGGUGUAGCGGUGAAAUGCAUAGAUAUCACGCAGAACUCCGAUUGCGAAGGCAGCAUACCGGCGCCCAACUGACGCUGAAGCACGAAAGCGUGGGUAUCGAACAGG